UAAAGUAUACACUCAGUGAAUGCUGGCC
rnacentral:piRNA from 1 species